GACGUCGAUAUUCGACGUCAUAAACACGAUUAGCUUUGAUGUUUAUGACGUCGAUAUUCGACGUCAUAAACACGAUCAAAUUAGGUUUUAUGACGUCGAUAUUCGACAUCAUAAACACAAUCAACUUAGGUGUUUAUGACGUCGAUAUUCGACGUC
rnacentral:miRNA from 1 species